rnacentral:rRNA from 1 species
CCUACGGGGGGCUGCAGUGGGGAAUAUUGCACAAUGGGCGCAAGCCUGAUGCAGCCAUGCCGCGUGUGUGAAGAAGGCCUUCGGGUUGUAAAGCACUUUCAGCGGGGAGGAAGGCGUUAAGGUUAAUAACCUUGGCGAUUGACGUUACCCGCAGAAGAAGCACCGGCUAACUCCGUGCCAGCAGCCGCGGUAAUACGGAGGGUGCAAGCGUUAAUCGGAAUUACUGGGCGUAAAGCGCACGCAGGCGGUCUGUCAAGUCGGAUGUGAAAUCCCCGGGCUCAACCUGGGAACUGCAUUCGAAACGGGCAGGCUAGAGUCUUGUAGAGGGGGGUAGUAUUCCAGGUGUAGCGGUGAAAUGCGUAGAGAUCUGGAGGAAUACCGGGGGCGAAGGCGGCCCCCUGGACAAAGACCGACGCUCAGGUGCGAAAGCGUGGGGAGCAAACAGGAUUAGAUACCCGAUAGUC